rnacentral:lncRNA from 1 species
GCAUGAGUUUUUGACUACAUUUGGAACGAGUUGAAUUAGAGUCCCAAGCAAGGUGGAACUUGAAGUGUUCAGUGAAAGCAGUGUUGUUCAAAGAGAGAAAGUACAUCCAUGUACACUACAACAUGAACCCCAUGCAAGUGAAGUUGAGAUUCAAGCAGGUGGCUACUCAACAGAAGUAGAUUUCCCUUUCAAAAAGUCGGAUUGUUACAUUUCUGAAGUCGAUAUUAACUUUAAUUCACCAGGUCAACCCUGAGGAAGAAAACGUCAGAUGGUAUGUUUUGCUGACAUAGAGACAGAGUCUGACUCCUCUCAUUGCUCUGAAGCUGUAUCAUGUACGUGUAGAAGGAACUUCAGCAAAAAGCGAAAUGCAGCCUGUCUGGAAUUAGCGGCAAUACUGAGAAUGAAAUGCUGCAGAAGUUAUUGUCUUCAUAAGAUAUAAAGAAUAGAUGCAAGGCCCGCAGAGGAUUUCAGAACAAGACUCUAGCAGAUCAGAGGCUAUGGAUUUUGCAGUACCUUAUUGAACAUCACAACUUUGUAAACAUGGAUGGAGACUCAUCCUUGGGAUUACUAUGACCCGCUUAUGGAAGAUGGAGUCAGGGUUAGCAGAAGGAUUGGUGACAUCUCGUCCAUCAAAUCACCAUCGUAAAGGACUUUGUUCUUUGUCUGUGAUGAUGUCAAUGGUGUGGCUUAGUGAAUUUGUCGAUAAGUUUGGAGAGAAACUGCCAACCAACAACAAAAUCCAUCUUCUUCAUGCCUUAUACAUGGAAAUGUGUAUCGGAUUAUGAAGGAGGAUGUAGAAGAGCAAGGAGGUUCUGUUUGUAGUCAGCAAUACUUCUUCCGCAAAUGGAGAAUGGAAAUGUCUCAUGUUACCAUUCCAAAGGUGAACCGGUUUUUGAAAUGCGACAUAUGCACCAAACUGAAAUCUUGCCUAGAGAAGACAACUGGCAGAGAAGAGAGACAAACUUUACUGCAAGAAAGAGAGUCACACCUUUUCCAGCAAAAGUCCAUCUAGGUACUAAGCAGAAAAGGCCUCAACAUCCAUUAUUAAAACUGGGAGAUACGGUUGCAGUCUACUUAGAAGAGUUCAGUAAUGAGUGGCCGCGAGUGAGCAAAGUGUUAGAAAUGACUGGAGACAGUGUGAAGCUGCAUUAGUACUCAGGAUCAGAAACGUCCACGUGGAUAUCGCCUACCACAUCAGUUCGAGGACAGAAGGGUCAGCCGUACACGGGAGAAGUCUCUCUUCAAGAAGUCAUUUCUUUCCCCUACAGUCUCACUAAAACAAACAAAUUACCAUAGGAUAUCCAGCGUCACGUGAAGAAUACUUUGCAUGUUAGGUCUGUAUGAACAUACACUGUAUUCAUACCAAUUUGGAAUGAGUUUGUUUGUCCAGGACUCAAAAGCUGUAUGUCUAUAUGGAAGCCACUUGAAUUAUGUGUUUUUGUGAUAUUACAAUGUACCUAUAUUUUUCCACAUUGGAUAUGGGGAUAAUUUCCAGGGUUUAUCUUCACAUGAGUUUGAUCACCUACAUGUAUCUACAUUUAGAAGAGAUAAAUGCACAAUGAUUGAUAGAGAGUUGGUACCUGAAGUAGGUAAUGAUUUAACUCUAAGUAGACUGGGCUAUUUCUACGCCUAAGAAGACUGGGGGGGGGGGGCUGAUUCAGCCCCCCUUAUGAUCUCGGCG